GGGGCUGUGGCUCAAUGGCAGAGCGCUCGCCUAGCACAUGUGAGGCCCUGGGUUCGAUCCUCAGCACCA
rnacentral:tRNA from 1 species